ensembl:lncRNA
CCCAGAGAGGCUUUGCCUCGUGGCAGGAGUUUCCUUUAUUCCUUUGUUCAGCUGGAGCUCCAAACACAUCGAACACGAGAAGUUCUGAACCUCCCUGGGAGCUGCCCACGGCUCUCACUGAACAUUCCACACUGGGAGGAGCGGGGAGAGAAAACACCACCAAGCCCUGGAGGGAGAACUGAGCAGGAGGAGAGGAGCCCAAGGCAAUCCCUGCUCAGGGGCAGGGUCUGUGCCUGCUCAGGGAUGGGAGGAUUUGCUCUCCAGGCUGCUGGAGCUCCCCUCAGGGCUGAUGGAAAUCACAAAGCACCCGGGGAAUAACAGGAAUCAUCCCUGAAGGAGCCUCUCCAGCCCCUGGAACUGCAGUUCCACCUCCACCACUCCCAGGUGCCACAAGGGGAUGGUUUGGGAGGGAUUGGAAACCUCUCCUUGUUCCACCUCCUGCCCUGGGAAUGGGGGGAGUGGGGCAGCUGUGCCCUGAUCCCCCUUUGCUCCAGGCUGAGCCCCUUUCCCAGCCCACAGGGAGCACCAAAAAAAUGAAACUUUGCCUUUAAAGCAGCCUCAUAUUGCUGGAGUGAUAAAACCCUGUCAGUGAUAUAUUUAUACAUAUAUCUAAAUAAGCAGCUGGUCAGCUGUACUUAAAAUAUUCAAAGUAAUUCUCCACUUAGCACUUCUAUCUUGGAGUUAUAAAGCAAGGUUGGCUGGCUGCUGACAUUAUUGAAUUUCAAAUAAAGAGACUCUGGAAGGCUGCUGGGGUGAGGUUUUUUCCUGCAUUCUCUUAAAAAUGCCUUGACAAAUUAAACCAAGUUGUCUUCAGCCCUCAGCUGAGACGAAGCUGCAGCUCCUGCUGCUGGGGUCACAAAUAACAUGGGGGUUCCUGCUUCCAGCUCCAACUUUGCACCCACCGAGGCAUCCUCAGGAAAACACCAGCAGAUCCACCAAAAUUGGACUUUUAAAUCUGGGGCCAAGGAGAAAUUGGUGUUUGGGACACUUAAAGGUGCAUUUGUGAUGUGUCACAGCAGGACAGAACCUGCUGGAGGCUCCCAAAUCCCUCCUGAAUUGAAGAGCUGAAGGUCAAGCCUAAUUUCCCCCAUUCUGCAGCACAGAAGGAUUUUGAACCCCCUGGAUUUUCAGCUUGCAAGGCACGCAGCUCGGAUGCCUCUGUUGCAUUUGGUGAUUUGGAAAGGUUAUUUCUGCCCUCUCUGCCUUCCACUCGAUCCUUCUCCAAGUUUUAUUCUGGGCUGUAAAUGGGCUCCGGGCUGAGAUAAAGAGAACAAUUUUGGUAGCAAUGCAUCAGCUGGAAAACAAAGCAGAAAUCUGAGGUGUUAAACGUUAAAAGCAAGGCGGGAGAGCUCUUUAUGAAGUAAAAUGAUGUGUAAAAUUGCCGGGGACAGGGCGGGGAAAGGCCAGCCUGUCCCUGUGUCCCCCUGCCCUUCCCAAAACCCCAAAACAAAAAUUGCUGCGUUUUUGGGGCUCUGAGCUCGUUCCCUCCGGGGCUGGCUGGGUUUUGUCACUGUUUUUAUCAGUGUCACACGCUCAGACACUCCAGGCAGUUAUUGCCAAAGUGUUUCAAGUGUUCCGAGGCGCUUCUGGGUGCCAACAGAAUUUAGUUGACAACAUAAUAAUAAAUGCAGCUCCAGCAGCA